UCGGUGCUUUCCGGUGGACGGUCUAAAGAUGGCGCUGCCCAUGAGGAGGACGCUGGUGUCUCUUCACAGAGCAACAUGUCUCUGUUUGACGAACGCAGAGGCGUCCCUCGGCCUGAGACACCCAGUGUACGUGCCCGUCCGCACCAAGAAGCGCUACUUCAUCCCUCCGGCCGCGGGGAUCAAGCGGAGGACGGAGGGCAACAUGGAGGCCAAGUCCCGAGCAGCCGGCCUCGUCAUGCGCCAGGAGUUCUCAGAGAGGCCCAUCAACAUCGCCUGCACUGCCGGAGUCUUCGACCCUUACAUCCCCCCAGAGGGAGACGCUCGUCUGUCCACUCUGUCCAAAGAAGGCCUGAAGCAGCGAACUGAGCAGAUUCGACAGAGCGCCGCCUCACAGCUCGCGAUCCGUAAAAUCAAAGAGCACGACACUCUGUUCAAAACAAAGGACUUCGCCGUGCGAGCUCAGGAAAUCUUCACCGAGGCGCACCACGCCCUGAUUCAGUUUAACAAAGUGAAACUUCACUCCCUGGUAACAGAGCGGUGUUAUCCGGAGAUGACGAGGGGGAACCGCUACAAGACCAUUCACUGGAGGUUCAUCGAGUCCCUGGAGCCGCCCAGAGUGGUCCACGCCCGCUGCCCCGACAUGGUCAGCAAGGGCAACCUGUACGGCCAGGUCACGGUCCGCAUGCACUCCAAACAGACUCUGGCCGUCUACGACCGCUUCGGGAGGCUGAUGCUGGGCAGCGAGGAGACGCCCAAAGACGUCCUGGAGUACCUGGUCAUAGAACGCCACCUGGUCAACCCCUACGGCCUGUGGAGGUUACAUGGGAAGAUAGUGCCGUCCUGGGCUCCGGCCAAAGAUCCAAUUGUUAAGACCGUCAUGAUUCCUGGUCCCAAGCUCCGGGUCGACCAAGAGUUCGAUGCCGUCAACUAUGAAGUUCCCAAACCAGCAGCUGUGCAGUGGUCUAAAUAGACCACCAGGUGGCGCCGCCCUCUCCUCAAACCCACAGCAGGACAUUAUGACCAGAAUCAGGCUGUUUAAAACUUGGCUGUGUGGUCGGGGAGUUUGUCCACUUCCUCUGGAGGCUCUGUCUGUUUUAAAAGGCUGGAAGCAGCAGGAUCAAGGACGAAGGAUCUCUGAGACUCCAGCUCCUCUGAACCUGCAGUUAUUCUGUUAAUGAGUGAUCUGCCGCUCUGAGGCCGGAACUCCUUCACUUUACAGAUUUGAACUGAGCUCACAAGAUUUAGAGAAUAUAAUAACAUCCCUCGAUUCAAUGUGCUUUGCUGUUAACAUUUAAAAAGUAUGAAAUCUUCACAGCCUGUUUCUAAUUUAAACUCCUCUCCAUGAAGCUUGAUUUCCACUGAACUGCAUCCACAGGAUUUUCUACCGUUCCCAGAUAUACAAGAAAUAUGGAUUAUUCCCUCUGUUAUAACAAGUGGAGGUUUCAGGGUUAAGUCUUAAGUUUAUGGUUGUUUAUGCAGUUUGUCAUUUAUUCAUCAUUCAGUGAAGAAAACAGGUAUUCGUCACAAUUUAUAUAUUAAUACCCACUCAACAUUUUCUCCUGCUUAAAAAAUAUGGAUCUGAAUAAAAGUCGACUGAUCUUGUUAAUGAUUGUUAA